UGGGGAAUAUUGGACAAUGGGCGCAAGCCUGAUCCAGCCAUGCCGCGUGAGUGAUGAAGGCCCUAGGGUUGUAAAGCUCUUUCACCGGUGAAGAUAAUGACGGUAACCGGAGAAGAAGCCCCGGCUAACUUCGUGCCAGCAGCCGCGGUAAUACGAAGGGGGCUAGCGUUGUUCGGAUUUACUGGGCGUAAAGCGCACGUAGGCGGACUUUUAAGUCAGGGGUGAAAUCCCGGGGGCUCAACCCCCGGAACUGCCUUUGAUACUGGAAGUCUUGAGUAUGGUAGAGGUGAGUGGAAUUCCGAGUGUAGAGGUGAAAUUCGUAGAUAUUUCGGAGGAACACCAGUGGCGAAGGCGGCUCACUGGACCAUUACUGACGCUGAGGUGCGAAAAGCGUGGGGAGCAAACAGGAUUAGAUACCCCUGGUAGUCCACGCCGUAAACGAUGAAUGUUAGCCGUUGGGGAGUUUAACUCUUCGGUGGCGCAGCUAACGCAUUAAACAUU
rnacentral:rRNA from 1 species